rnacentral:rRNA from 1 species
CGGCAGGCUUACACAUGCAAGUCGCAGGGGAAGCAGUCCUUCGGGAUUGUGGAGACUGGCGCACGGGUGAGUAACGCGUGGGAAUCUGCCCUGGGGUGGGGGAUAACCGCUGGAAACGGCGGCUAAUACCGCAUACGCCUUAAGGGGGAAAGCUUUCGAGCGCCCUGGGAGGAGCCCGCGUCCGAUUAGCUUGUUGGUGGGGUAAAGGCCUACCAAGGCUACGAUCGGUAGCUGGUCUGAGAGGAUGAUCAGCCACACUGGGACUGAGACACGGCCCAGACUCCUACGGGAGGCAGCAGUGGGGAAUAUUGGACAAUGGGCGCAAGCCUGAUCCAGCCAUGCCGCGUGAGUGAAGAAGGCCUUAGGGUUGUAAAGCUCUUUCACCCGUGAAGAUGAUGACGGUAGCGGGAGAAGAAGCCCCGGCUAACUCCGUGCCAGCAGCCGCGGUAAUACGGAGGGGGCGAGCGUUGUUCGGAAUUACUGGGCGUAAAGGGCGCGUAGGCGGACGAUCAAGUCAGGGGUGAAAGUCCUGGGCUCAACCUGGGGACUGCCUUUGAAACUGAUUGUCUUGA